GGUAGAGGACAAUUACCACCCCGAAUGCACCCCAUCUCAUCUGAUCUCAGAAGCUAAGCAGGGUCGGGCCUGGUUAGUACUUGGAUAAAGAUGUUCUAAACCUAUUGUACCACUAUCA
ensembl:rRNA 5S_rRNA 5S ribosomal RNA